rnacentral:misc_RNA from 1 species
GAUGAAGAACGCAGCGAAAUGCGAUAAGUAAUGUGAAUUGCAGAAUUCAGUGAAUCAUCGAAUCUUUGAACGCACAUUGCGCCCCCUGGUAUUCCGGGGGGCAUACCUGUUCGAGCGUCAUUUCACCACUCAAGCCUCGCUUGGUAUUGGGCAACGCGGUCCGCCGCGUGCCUCAAAUCGACCGGCUGGGUCUUCUGUCCCCUAAGCGUUGUGGAAACUAUUCGCUAAAGGGUGUUCGGGAGGCUACGCCGUAAAACAACCCCAUUUCUAAGGUUGACCUCGGAUCAGGUAGGGAUACCCGCUGAACUUAAGCAUAUCAAUAAGCGGAGGA